rnacentral:rRNA from 1 species
CAAGUCGAGCGAAUGGAUUAAGAGCUUGCUCUUAUGAAGUUAGCGGCGGACGGGUGAGUAACACGUGGGUAACCUGCCCAUAAGACUGGGAUAACUCCGGGAAACCGGGGCUAAUACCGGAUAACAUUUUGAACUGCAUGGUUCGGAAAUUGAAAGGCGGCUUCGGCUGUCACUUAUGGAUGGACCCGCGUCGCAUUAGCUAGUUGGUGAGGUAACGGCUCACCAAGGCAACGAUGCGUAGCGACCUGAGAGGGUGAUCGGCCACACUGGGACUGAGACACGGCCCAGACUCCUACGGGAGGCAGCAGUAGGGAAUCUUCCGCAAUGGACGAAAGUCUGACGGAGCAACGCCGCGUGAGUGAUGAAGGCUUUCGGGUCGUAAAACUCUGUUGUUAGGGAAGAACAAGUGCUAGUUGAAUAAGCUGGCACCUUGACGGUACCUAACCAGAAAGCCACGGCUAACUACGUGCCAGCAGCCGCGGUAAUACGUAGGUGGCAAGCGUUAUCCGGAAUUAUUGGGCGUAAAGCGCGCGCAGGUGGUUUCUUAAGUCUGAUGUGAAAGCCCACGGCUCAACCGUGGAGGGUCAUUGGAAACUGGGAGACUUGAGUGCAGAAGAGGAAAGUGGAAUUCCAUGUGUAGCGGUGAAAUGCGUAGAGAUAUGGGAGGGAACACCAGUGGGCGAAGRCGACUUUCUGGGUCUGUAACUGACACUGAGGCGCGAAAGUGGGGGGAGCAAACAGGAUUAGAUACCCUGGGUAGUCCACGSCGUAAACGGUGAGUGCUAAGUGGUAGAGGGUUUCGCCCUUUAGUGCUGAAGUUAACGGAUUAAGGACUCCGCCUGGGGGAGUACGGGC